AGACGAAGGUGGCUAGCGUUAUUCGGAUUUACUGGGCAUAAAGCGCGCGUAGGCGGCCUGGUCAGUCGGAGGUGAAAUCCCACAGCUUAACUGUGGAACUGCCCCCGAUACUGCCGGGCUUGAGUGCAGGAGGGGUGACCGGAACUCCAGGAGUAGCGGUGAAAUGCGUAGAUAUCUGGAGGAACACCGGAGGCGAAGGCGGGUCACUGGACUGCAACUGACGCUGAGGUGCGAAAGCUAGGGGAGCAAACAGGAUUAGAAACCCCAGUAGUCC
rnacentral:rRNA from 1 species